rnacentral:rRNA from 1 species
UACGUAGGGUGCGAGCGUUGUCCGGAAUUACUGGGCGUAAAGAGCUCGUAGGUGGUUUGUCGCGUUGUUCGUGAAAACUCACAGCUUAACUGUGGGCGUGCGGGCGAUACGGGCAGACUGGAGUACUGCAGGGGAGACUGGAGUUCCUGGUGUAGCGGUGGAAUGCGCAGAUAUCAGGAGGAACACCGAUGGCGAAGGCAGGUCUCUGGGCAUUAACUGACGCUGAGGAGCGAAAGCAUGGGGAGCGAACAGG